ensembl:lncRNA
AUAACACUUUGCUGGGUAAUGUGGCGGAAGGUAUUCAGAACGUAGGGCAGCAAGGGGCACAUUUCUGAACAGUGAGAAGCUGUUUUAUUAAAGAUGUUACAGGCCCCAAGAACACACUCUGUUCUUGAACUAAGAUUUAACGCGUGAAACAUGAGUAUUUUGUUGCAGGGACUGCUUCACAGUGGACUUUUAAUCUGUAUCGCAUGCAGUCUGCGUUUUUUUCUAUUACAGAGUGGAUUUUUUGAGGAAGCAAGGUGUGCCAUAUCACUUGUUCACUACGGAGUCCACAGUUACAUUAGGUAUCAUUGGACCCCUGUUUUCAUUUCCUUGUUGAUUUUGUUUGGCCUGGCUUUUGGCUCUAUCUCUAGUUGUCAGACUGGUAUUAUCAAUUCCUUGACCCUUCUUCUAGUACUUGUUAACUCAGGAGUCUCACCGUCUGUCUUGGGAUGCCACAGUCCUGCGAGGUAAGGGAAGAGGAUUGGAUUUUUUCAUAAUUUCAGAAGGCCGUAAUUUUAAAUCAAUAUUUUUUUCCUUUUCUUUACAGUUCAUAGUUGAUAAAAGGUCACAACAAUCAUAAACAAGUUAAGUUAGAACAAUGUGUUAAACUAAAAGCAUUAGAAGACUGUAAGUGGAUUUGCCUAAAUGUAUUACUAAUUCAUCUUGUAAACUCUAUAUCCUUAGUAAUACACAGCCUGGAAUAUGUCUGUCUUCAUGUUUAAAUUGGUGCCUGAUUACUGCUUGAUCAUCCUGGCCUGUGAAGAACAGAGCUCAUUAGCAUCAACAUGGUGGAAUGCUCUGCAUUCUAUGGAAUUUGAAAUGCAGAGACUAUCUACGACCACAGUUACUGAGACAAGGAAGCUAGAAGGGAAUAAUACCAAAAUCAACAGAAUUCAGCUGAUUUAAAGGCCAACUGUCUUUUGAGUCAUCUCCUUUUAAAAACACCUUAUGACCAGAGAGGACAAUAAUGUAAGGAUCCUUUAUCUUGUUAAGUUUUGGGGGUUUAUAUUUCUAUCUUCCCAAGGAUGCAAAAGCAUCCAUGAAAAGUACUUGCCAGCCAUCUCCUAUCCUUACUGCCUUGAAGUAGACACUGAUAUUAGAAUAUUUACUUGUACUUCCCAAACUGAUUUCCGACUUGCUCUUGAGCAUUCAAGGUCCUUUCAAGAUAGAACACUGGCCAACAUGCCUGGGGCUGACCACGAGAUAUAAGGGCUUCAGCACUGGCAGCAUUUACUGCUGUAGGGUGACGAGAGUAGUUCUGUUUUACUGACUCAAUCUGCAAAUUUCAGUUCUGAUUUGCCAUCGUAACGCAGUGUGUGCUAAAGAUUAACACUGCAAAGGAAUAACCUGCGGUGACUGAGAAUUUCAUGAACUUUAAAAUGUUAAAUAGAUGUGAUCAUAGUUUCAUCUGAUUGGGCUUUGCAUAGAAUUCUCUCUUUUCAAUCUUUUCAAUGUGCUUUUUUUUUUUUUUUUUUUUUUUUGUCUUCCAGGAUAGCAGAAAGUCCUCUGUGCC